CAGCCCGGCGCCGGGGGCAAGGCUCGCCAGAAAGCGGGGACCUCCCGGGUGACCACAAAUUCAUCGUACUUCUGUGCCAACAAUAUUGAUCAUCAACGCCUGACAGAGAAAACCCUACACAAGAAUUCCCCGCCGUCAAAGAAGAGUUGAGACCUCAUCCUCUUUAAGGAAGUGUUGAACCACUUCUGAUAUGUGGGAGUGCAUGGAGGAGGCCUCGGUGAUGCUCACUUGAAAUUCGACUCAAGCACUUGAUGUCUUGCUCUACAGCAAUGGUGCACCAGGGCUAAAGACCAGCAUCCUGGCAUUCCUCAUCGUGCCAGCUGGAUGUAAGUCUCAUGGGAAGC